rnacentral:rRNA from 1 species
GACGAACGCUGGCGGCGUGCUUAACACAUGCAAGUCGAACGGAAAGGCCCUGCUUUUGUGGGGUGCUCGAGUGGCGAACGGGUGAGUAACACGUGAGUAACCUGCCCUUGACUUUGGGAUAACUUCAGGAAACUGGGGCUAAUACCGGAUAGGAGCUCCUGCUGCAUGGUGGGGGUUGGAAAGUUUCGGCGGUUGGGGUUGGACUCGCGGCUUAUCAGCUUGUUGGUGGGGUAGUGGCUUACCAAGGCUUUGACGGGUAGCCGGCCUGAGAGGGUGACCGGGCAACGCUGGGCGGGAGAGAGGGCCGAGGUAGGAGGGGGGGGCAGGAGGGGGAAGUAGGGGAGGAGGGGGGGAAGAUGGAGGAAGGAGGGGCGGGGGGGGGAGGCGGGCCUGGGGGGUGAAACGCGGUGUGGGAGGGGAGGAGGCGUGAGAGAAGGUGAGGGGAAAAGAAGAACCGGGAAAGUACGAGCCAGCGGCGGAGGAAAGAAAUGGAAGAACAAACGUGUGAGC